rnacentral:rRNA from 1 species
GACGAACGCUGGCGGCGUGCUUAACACAUGCAAGUCGAACGGAAAGGCCCUGCUUGCAGGGUACUCGAGUGGCGAACGGGUGAGUAACACGUGGGUGAUCUGCCCUGCACUUCGGGAUAAGCCUGGGAAACUGGGUCUAAUACCGGAUAGGAGCCAUUUUUAGUGUGAUGGUUGGAAAGUUUUUUCGGUGUAGGAUGAGCUCGCGGCCUAUCAGCUUGUUGGUGGGGUAAUGGCCUACCAAGGCGGUGACGGGUAGCCGGCCUGAGAGGGUGGACGGCCACAUUGGGACUGAGAUACGGCCCAGACUCCUACGGGAGGCAGCAGUGGGGAAUAUUGCACAAUGGGCGCAAGCCUGAUGCAGCGACGCCGCGGGGGGGAUGACGGCCUUCGGGUUGUAAACUCCUUUCGCUAGGGACGAAGCUUUUUGUGACGGUACCUAGAUAAGAAGCACCGGCUAACUACGUG